CCGGAAGUGUUGAUAUCGCUAUAUUUGUAAUGUUGCUUGUUACAAACUGAAGGUCACAAUUAGAUUUCAUGUAUUAUUGGCUGACAAAUUAAGGAAGAUGUUGUAGUCUGAAAAAAACAAUCCUAGGUCUGGUCUUUUAUGGUGUUCUACAACAGACUACUGGGUGUGUACUUUGCCACAGCUAGCUACAUCCCAGCGCAGUAGCAUAAUGGUUACAUCAUCUUGCUACUUCCGUCUCUGCCACAUUUUGGUUUCUGCUGCUUUUGUCCUGUCAAGAACACAUGUACAGUAGAUGUUCGUUGGGGUUCCAGUAAUACCUUUAAUGCUUUAGCUUCCACUUCAUAUCAAGCUGUGCUUCAUCUGACAUCCCAAGCAGCCGCUUGAUUCUUUCUGUGUUUUUUUGUUAACUGCCUGACACUUAAUCGGCCUGUUGGGGCUUCAAGCGGUCCGGCAGCAGAACCUCAACAGUGAAACUGAUUCUCUUGGCCUGGAAGAUGCUCAGGCUUCCACAAGUGCUUCAAGCCCAGACCCUCAACGUCGUAAAUCAUUGUGAUGGACUCCACGUUCUUCCCCAGCUAGAGGGCACAACAACACAGACCGGUGCACUCCCUCUGCAGCAUCUCACAGUCUCGUAUCUUAGACUUGAUGAAGUCCUGCUUGGAGGCAGAGAGGAAGAGGCCUUUGGGGUCCACGGGUCCGAUGACAUCAUACCAGAUGGGACUGCCCUCGCGGUCGUAGCCACACAUUCCUCCAGAGAGAUACUUCUCGAUGACCUGCAGCCAUCAUGGAGAAGGUCCAACUAAUCACACAUACAAGCGCAGUGAUGGCAAGACUUCCUAGUGAUGACAUCACGUUUGGACAACGUUACCUUUCGCAGCAUGGCCUCGGACUUCUGCACGUUAAAGUUUCUGGCUAGAAGACAGAAAAAAAGAGCAACAAUUUUAAGAUUUAAGGAUUAGAUCUGCUUCCAAAAGGAAAACGUCAAAAGUCAAACACAGCAAAGUUAAGAUUUUAUACUAUUGAAACAGUAUCACUUCUUCUUACACUUGUGUGACACUUACAAUUGGAACACUUACGGAAUACAAACGCAAAAAACAUGGACUAAAUGAAACAACAACAAGUUACACAAGUUCACAGUUAACCAACUUCUCUCUGGAGAGAAUGGAUUUUAUAGUCCCCAAAAAGCCUUUUCUGUUUAUUGGGUAUGGUAUACAACGAAGCGGACAAGCGUUCUUCUGUCUAAGACGCUGCAGAUGCUGCUGCAAACCCAUUAAAUGCUCCUUUCCGUGAGCUUCCAGAGGCCUGGAGGCUGGUAUGGGCUGGAACUGUUUGUUAUUUUGGUCCAGUUCGAGGUGUGCUUACAUGGCAACACAGUUUCACUUCCUCCUGGUGACUAAUCACACCAAACGUGAGCAUUAGGCAUUUGACAGAAUGUUUGUAUUGGAUCUCUUUCGAUGGCGCAUCUAAUGAAGCGACCUCAUCCCCUCAUCAUCAGCCAGUCACGCAUAGGAGUAAAAACAAGCUGAAUCAUUCUGAAUGGACACUUUUUGGAAGCUUCUCGACAGUGUAACCGAACUUCCUGUGAUUUUAACGGCAGGGGGAUCACUGGGGGAGGGCAGGGGCGUGUCUGCCCUGCUGUUGCUGUAGUACACCUUUUAAUGUGAUUAGCUCCGGAUUAGCCUGAUACACAAAGUCCAAGCCCUCUGCUCCAAAACUAAUUUGAGCUCCUUACCCCCCCCCCCCCACACACUAAUACUAAAACACACACAAUAAGACUCUUCUAUGUAUUCAUUGGAGCACAAAUGCGUUGAAGUGCGUUCAGACCAGGCUUGUUGUUAUGAGUUGUACUUCGUAUAUGAAAACCACGCAACCUGUGCAGGUUGACACAUGAGGCGGGAUGAGUUCCAGCUCACCUCUAAGCCAUCGCAGCAGGAAGUGGUCAUGUUGGGCAGGAAGUUGAGAAAGAACAUCUUGAAUCCUCUCCCGGAACUGAUGAGGGAAAGCA